AUGCAACAGUUGUACAAACUGCAUGGUUUCCCUGGAGCAAUCGUAUCCGACCGCGACCCAGUUUUUACCAUUCACUUUUGGCAGGAGUUGUUCAAGUACGCAAGAGCAAAACUCCGGAUGAGCAUAGCAAACCACCCGCAGACCAACGGGCAAACCGAGAGGGUGAAUCAGUGCAUCGAGACCUACCUUCAUUGCUUUGUUCAAGCGUGUCCCAAGCGAUGGAGCUUCUGGGUGCCCUUGGCCCAGUUCUGGUACAACUCUUCGCACCACUCGGCAAUUGGGAUGACGCCAUUCAAGGCCAUGUUCGGGAGGGAGCCAAGGCAUUGGGGAAUCACAGUAUCUACAUCAUCUUCGGUCCCUACGCUGCAAACUUGGCUUGAAGAGCGAGCCGUCAUGCAAGACCUGAUACAGCAG
rnacentral:rRNA from 1 species